rnacentral:lncRNA from 1 species
GGACAAAUUUACUGCUAAAUUUGAACCCAGGACAAAUUUUGGCAGCCAAUCUUUAUCUUAGGAAGGUACUAGGACAAACAUUUCAAAUAAGACAAAAAGUAGCAGCACAAUCAUUUAUCCUAGGAUAAAAAAAUAGCAACACAAUUUUGACGAGUAGGACAAAAUUUUGAUAUAACAGACAUCUUCGUGCACAUAUGGGCAAGCCCCCAGGAUUGGGCUCAAUUAUUUUGAAGUGUACCUUGCAGUGUACUGUUGACUGAAUGAUGUUUUCAAAAUUCAAAUGUGGCAAAGCCUGAGCCUAGGCAUAUAGUGGAAGGGAGCGGGGAUGAGACGUAGACAAUGCCACACCCACGAAGACACCAAUGAUGAUGCUAUCAUUGAUAAAUGAUCCUAUUACUGAAUUGUAUGAUCUUGAAACUGGCCCUCAACUUCUCGUAGAGGCUAAAAAUGAAUAACGAAGACAGUUGCGUGUGUACUUCAAGUGGUCUCCUGAUGGUAGUGGUACUUGUGUAUUGACUUACAAUAAUGACAAUAUACUGAGAUUGUAUAAUCUUCCAAAUGAGCUCUACAGCUCUUCAUUCCCUGAUCACAUUCAACCAGAAACAGUGAAUUUAGACACACAAAAACAUGCAUAUGUACAUGUAUUUCUAACAUAUUGCUUUGCUGUCUUUUGUAGGAUCCUGUUGUUUAUGCUAGAGAAGAUGAAAUUAAAUACGAUUAUGCCUGGUUCCCUAGAAUGUCAUCCUAUGACUAUGCCACUUGCUGGGCAAAUUUUCCAUUAUGCACUGCAACAAAAACGUUCACAAGAGAUAAAUGUGAUGAAAAUGAGGAAUAUUAUCUGGAAAACUACAUGAGAGUUGCCACAGUUUCCUGGGAAUAUAACAGCUAUUUCUGUGGACCAGAGUAUGACGAUGACAUGGAUCUAUACCAGUGGUGGCCACCAAAGAGCUGUUACAAGCCAAGGUAUGAUAGAGGUGCCGGUACCCUACUUUACAAACCAUGGACCAAUGGAUUGGGAUGCAAUGGGUUUGGU